GGUCGAAAGAGGAAAUUCAUUCGCGUUUCGGCCGUCGAAGUUGGGCGUUCGUACGACGGAAGACGUUUCGGCGUCGUCUGCGUCUUACGUUCUUCGAUUCGAUGUCGAACGCGUGCACUUUUCCUCUAGUAGGACGUCGCGAUCCGUUGGGUGUUUGUCUAAGGCUCGAAGUGGAGCCCGCAUGAUUUCUGAUCGUGUGGACCUUCGAUGUCCCGACAGACUCGCUCGACGGUAUACUAAUGGCGCGAGGCCGCUAAUUUAAUUAGCGUUCGGUCCGUAGCAAGCACGUUCCGUGUAAUUGAUGGCGAUCGGACCUGGUGCCGAUUCUGUCCCGGAACGACUGUUGGUUGCGGUAUUCUCGAACAGACCUCG
rnacentral:rRNA from 1 species